CGAGCACAAGUUGCUGAAAUGAGAAGGUGUCGACAUUUUAACAAUAUAUAGUGACAGUAAAGUCAGCAUAUGAAUAUAUACAUAUAUAUUUUUCAUUUUAUAAAAAAGUUUUAAAUUAUUUUUCCGAUAAAUGACAAAGAGCCUGAAGACGAUCGAGAAUAAGACGGACGACGACAACAAAAGAAAGAGAAAAUGUACGUCAAAAUCACCAGCAACACCAAAGUAAAUGACAAAAAAAUAAAUAAAUGAAUCCUAAUAAAAAAAAAUCGGAGAAUUUUACAAUCGCAGAGGUGUAAUCGCACGGAAAUACAACGAUUUCGCACACACCAAAUAGACUAAAUAACAAAAAGACAAAACGAAACGGAACGUGAAUAAUUUUGUGAUCUAUAUUCACAGUGUGAAUAUUGUUUAGUGAAUACGUGAAACCAAUACAAUAAUAAUACCAUUGAGAAAAAGAGAUAAAGAGAGAAAGAGAGAAAAAACAACAAAUUUGCAAUCUAUUCAAGUGUCAAAUCAAAAUGCCAUUUGUAAAUGAUGCGAUCGACGUCACAUUUUCUCAAAUAAAAUGACAUGAAGACAAUUUUAUGACCAAUCAAUGUUAUUUCCAUAACAAAUAAAUAUGAAUUUAAAAUAGCCAACCAUAGGUUGUGCAAACAUAAAUUGUGUGCCUUAAUAUUGCCUUUAGAAAUGAUAGUCUUCUAUUAGCAAAAUUUUCAUGUGAAAGAUUCAAAAUAAAAAGAAAAGAAGAAGAAAAAGUGUGCCUUGCCCGUUUUUGAUAACGAAAAUCCUGUCCAUAUCAACCGUAUCAGUGAAAUUUUGAGUUAAUGGAAUUUGUGUGUGUUUUAUUUUCGUGUAUGCCAAUGCAUAAAUAAAUGUGAGUUUUUUAUGGGCCGCCAAAUAGUGUUCAAUUAUUGAAAGAAAAAUACGUAUAACCUUGCAAAUGUAAUAAAUCGUGAACGAAGUGAAAUAAAUGCAUUCAUUUUUUCGUGUUUCACAAUCGCUCUGAAAUGUGGAUAUAAUACGCAAAUCCAUAAAACAAUUCGGGUGCGGGCAACACAAGCACACGAGAUCGAGUAUGAUCACCACCUCUGCCGUCACCGAAGCCACUGCCAACAAUAUUUGUGUGUCUGUGUUUGCUUAAAUGUGAGUGAUUCGUGUGGAGAACGAGAGAGAUAGAACGAAAGAGAGAAUAUUUCGAAUGCAUGUGGCAUUUUUAACAUCGGCGAAUCAAUCAUCGAUCUAUCGCGAUUAUUGUGAUAUGACAAACCGAAACAUUAACAAUGAAUCAAACAGGCGGAAAAACGCCGUCUACACCAAGGCUCUCGGAAUACGCGACAAAUGCCUUGGAAACAAUUCGCAAGGAAUUACGAAUGUUUUCAAUCAGCGAUGUGCAAAAUGCAUCCAAUGCAACAAACGGCCAACAAAUCCCAACGCAUCAAUCAAAAGUCGAAUGCGAUCUAAACCUCUUAUUAGCACAAUUAAUGAAUUCCGGCUUUACGGAAGAGCAAGCAAUCACUUUUAUCAAAACUAAUGGUCGCAGCGAUGGUUUAGAAAAUAAUAAACAAGUGCAACUACAGCAAUGCAAUCAACGAUUACCAGUUUCAGCUCCAGCUCAACCACCAAAAUUAUUUCGAAAGCCGAGCAUCGAACGCGAAAUACCGCAAUUUCCGCGAGGUAGUCCAGCCCUUGAUUCGGGCGCCGGUAGUUCACGAUCAAAUUCAACAACGGAUUCAGCAACAAUUUACGACGCCAAACCCAUUGAAUAUUGCAAGCAAAUCGAUUACUGCAAACCAAUAGAAUUUUGUAAACAUGUGCCACUACAACAAUGCAGUAAUCAACGAUUACCAGUAAUUCCAGCUCGUGGUACAUCACCGGUUGUGCCGCAAAAUGGAACAGAUAAAUGUCAUUUAAUGAAAAUGCCUCGUAAACCUCACAAUUCAGUCGAAAAUCCACUUGCAUGGCGUUUUUCUCCAGCAUCCGAUCAACAAGAUCAAAAUAGUAACGUACCACCACCACCAUAUCCAAUUAUUGCAACAGGUGUCACAAACUAUUCACCCUCGAUUCCAAAUCGACAAAGUCCAACUAGUACAACAGAUGAUUAUCGCAAGUCACCGUCAUCGGGCAUCUAUUCAGCAACAUCGGCGGGAUCACCAAGUCCAGUACCACCAUCAAAUUCAAUGUCACCUCAUCCGAUAUCUAGAUCAUCGAAUGUAUGCCAAAUUGGUUCAUGGCAACGUAAAACACAUUCGCCAAUCAUAAUGCAGUCAGUUAAGUCGACACAAGUGCAAAAACCAAUCCUACAAACAGCCAUUGCACCUCAAGUACCAACUACACUCACACCGUCGACGACAACCGCAUUGCCAUCAUAUGCAUCGUCCAUUCAACCUCAUGUAACGAAUAGCGUGACAACGAAUACAAAACAUCAAAAUAAUACACCACCAACAACGCCGCCAGUAUUGAAUUCCAUACCGCCAGACAUAGCACCGAAAAAUAGCCAGAAAACACCACCGAUAAAUGCAGUGCAUCCAUCGUCACCAGCGAAUAAUUUUGUACCUGUGAGUGAACCGCCAUCGUAUGCGAGCUCAAUGGCCUACAAAGCUGCCGCAAAAACUCACAUGGCGUUGCCACCGCCGCCGCCAUAUAGCAACAAUAAUAAUCGAGAUAUGUCUAGUUCGCCGGAAAUAAUAAACAAUAAUAAUUUAUCAAUAACCCCGCCAUUACCGCCAACAUCAUCGUCAUCGGUCAAAAGUAAUAAAAAUAAUAAUGCAAAAACGACCAUAGCAAAUAGUACGAUGACGACGACGACCGCCACAAAGAAAUUAAAUAAACAACCGGCAGCACCACCGCCCGGAUCAACGGUAGCGGCGAAAAAUAGCAAAAACUCUGCAUCGACACCAACAUCAACGUCAACAUCAACGACGACAACAACAACGGAAGGAUGUGAAAAGAUAAAGCAUGAAUCACCAAUUCCCGAACGAAAACUAGUCCCAAAAGAUCAAGAAGAAGUGAAGGAAGGCCGAAUCAAGCACUAUUCACCGCAAGCGUUUAAAUUUUUUAUGGAACAACAUGUUGAGAAUGUGCUCAAAGCAUGUAAACAACGAAUGUUCCGAAAAAAUCAAUUAGAAAAAGAAAUGGGCCGCAUUAAUUUAUCGGAAGAGGCACAAAUUCAAAUGCGUCGAAUGUUAAAUCAAAAAGAAUCAAACUAUCUUCGAUUGAAACGGGCCAAAAUGGAAAAGUCCAUGUUCACAAAAAUCAAAACAAUUGGCGUUGGUGCAUUCGGCGAAGUGGCAUUAGUACAGAAAAUUGAUACGCCAACCAUGUAUUAUGCCAUGAAAACAUUGAAAAAGGUCGACGUCUUGAAACGUAAUCAAGUGGCGCAUGUGAAAGCUGAACGCGAUAUUUUAGCCGAAGCCGAUAACGAAUGGGUCGUUAAAUUGUAUUAUAGCUUUCAAGAUCGUGACAAUUUAUAUUUCGUGAUGGAUUAUAUUCCGGGCGGUGAUUUAAUGUCGCUGCUCAUUAAAUUGGGCAUAUUCAGUGAACCGCUUGCUCGAUUUUACAUUGCCGAACUUACGGUGGCCGUUGAAAGUGUUCAUAAAAUGGGAUUCAUUCAUCGCGACAUCAAACCGGACAAUAUUUUAAUCGAUCGAGAUGGUCACAUUAAACUCACCGAUUUUGGAUUAUGUACGGGUUUUCGUUGGACACACGAUUCAAAAUAUUAUCAAAAAGCCGGCGAACAUGCGCGACAAGAUUCAAUGGAACCAUGGGACGAUGCAAAUGACGGUGUAAAACCAGCUGUUCUAGAACGGCGGCGUCAACGUGAACAUCAACGAUGCCUUGCGCAUUCGCUAGUCGGUACACCAAAUUAUAUAGCGCCCGAAGUAUUAGCCCGCAGUGGAUACACACAAUUGUGCGAUUGGUGGAGUGUGGGUGUUAUUCUGUAUGAAAUGCUUGUUGGUCAGCCACCGUUUUUAGCGAACACAGCUGUAGAAACUCAACAAAAGGUCAUAAAUUGGGAGCAAUCGUUGCAUAUACCGCCCGAGGCGAAAUUGUCGCAAGAAGCAAGUGAUUUAAUUUUACGUUUAUGUUCAUCGGCCGACCGUCGCUUAGGCAAAAAUGCCGACGAAGUAAAAGCGCAUGGAUUUUUCCGUGCCAUAAAUUUUGGUACCGAUUUACGUCAGCAAAAAGCACCGUACAUACCAAAAAUUGAACAUCCAACCGAUACAUCAAACUUUGACGAAGUCGAUCCGGAGCGCAUACAAAAUUCAGAUCAAUUUGAUGCAUUCAGCAACGGUACGGCAAUAUCGUUUCAUGGCUUUUAUGGUUUCACAUAUCGUCGAUUUUUUACGGACGAUAAAAGCAAUCAGGAAUGCAAUGAUCAAGACGGACCCGUCUAUGUUUGAUUAUUACAUAUACAUUUCUCAAAAAAAUUUUGUUGCUCCAAAUGUGUAUAUUCUGGAUGAAAAUAGAAUGCGACGAUUCGACCGAGAACUGUUAACUUUAAAAACAAAUAAAUAGCAAUAUGUUGAGAACUUUCAAAAAGACAAAUACUCAAAAAUUGAACAAGAAAUGGACAAAUUGCAUUGUUGCCGCACUCCCUCGAAAAGUGAAGGAUUAAAGAGAAGAAAAAAAAUGUUGGUGCUUAACAUUAUAAAUUAACAAAAAGGGAAACAUGAAGAGAGGGAGAUAGAACUGGAAGAAUAUCAAAAUGCAAGCAGAAAAAACUUUAAAUGAAAGUAAUCGUUGAAACGUCUUUUUUUCGUUUCACUUAACAAUUUAUUAAAUAAAGUAGUGUGGAACUUGGCAUACACACGCACCACGUCAAUCAUAUCACGUCAGAGACACGAGAAGGAGAUGCAGAAAUCGUUAAAUAAAUGAGUGCCCUCCUGUGCGAGAUAGUAUUUUGAAUAAAUCGUAUAACGGCCAAUUGUAAAAUCCAUCAAAAUAAAUUCAAAAAAAAAGAACGUUGCGUUGAUAACCAACAACAUAAUUCAAAUACUCUCGUUUGGGCUUGCUUAUAGAACUAUAGUUAAAAAGCGAAAGAAGAUAAAUUAAUCAUUUAAAUGAAAUGAAAAAAUAAAUAAAUAGAAAUCAAUACAAAUAAUAUUUAAGAUUUUUGAUAGGUAAUUUUUAAAUAAUUACAAAAAAGAAAGAAAAUAUUAUUAAUAAAAUAAACACAGUGUGUCUUCAAUGUGCGAUUUAUCACAUAAAAAUAAUGUGUAUAUUCUACUUUUAGAGAGAGAGAGAGAAUGAAGGAAAACGACAAAUCAAAGCAAACAAUUAUGAAAAUAAAAUAGAAAAAGAUGGAUAUACAAGAGAGCUAAUAAUGAACAUAUAAAUAGAAUGAACGAAAGAAAAAUCUAAAAAGAAAAAAAAAUCUCUGGUUUCGCCAAAUUAGCUUUAACCAAUCAAAUUCAAUUGAAAUCGAAUAAACGAAACAGCAAACAAAAAUGCCGUGAUAUAUCAAGCAUAAAGCUUCUCAAAUUAUCGAGAGUGAUUCAUUUCGUUUAUUCGUUUAUUCGUCUCUUUCGUAAAUUAGUAAACUUCAACCGCGAGCCACAUAAUGACAGUUAAGAUGAGGUUCAAUCGCUAAAAAUUCAACAGGUUUCUCUCAUAACUCAACAAAAGUCGUGUAAUAUUGAUAAAAAAUGGCCGGCAAAAAAAAUCAAGUGAUACAUUUUAUACAAAUAAUUUUUUUUCGAAGCCGAAAAUGAAAAAGGAAGCAACGCGUAAAUAAAAGAAAAUGCAAAGACAAUAGCACGAUAUUUGUUUUUUUUUUUGGAAAAAAACGUACACUCCUCAAAAAGAAAAUGCAACUCACGCACAUAGAAACACACACGCGUACAUACAUACAUACACUCAUAAAAGCACUCACAAACAAAAUCUUCAAUUAAAAGUAAAAAAAAAUUCCAGCAGGCUGGAACACACACACACAUCUUCAUACAGUAUAGAAUAAAUUAGAUUGAAUUUAGUAUCCCUUUUGGUUCAACUAUUGUUUUCUCAAUAUAUUCGAUGAUUUUUGAACGCAAACAAAACAAAUUCGGCUUAAAUAGUUUUUUUUUUAUUCAAAUGAGAAAAAAAAUGAAAAUAAUAAAUUACAAUUUGAUGUUAUAAAGCAAAAUGUUUCCGGUUUUGUUCGAAACAUUUUGAAAUGCGAGUACCCAAAAUCUAUGUUAUUUACAAACAAGUCAGAAAAAUAGCAACAAACGAUUAUUUAUUUUGCAAUUAUUUAACAAAGCGCGGUAUACACAAUUGCACACACAAUGAUGUUUAAUAUGGUGUUGUGUAAGAGAAAAUAUGAUAUAUAUUUUUUUUGCAGUUGAAAAAUGUUAAGAAAUGCUAAAAAAAGAGAGAAAAAAACAAACAACAAUUUGACAGCAUAUCAGAUGAGAGAAAUAAACAAACAGACAUCCAUGUGGUGCUUAACAAUUUUAUUAGUAAGUUCGGAAAUGGUAUGUUAUUAAAAAGUUUUUAGUUGAACGGCGUGAUAUCCAGUAAGAUUAAUUUAUACUAAGAUUUUAACUUUAAACAAGUAAACAAAGAGAGCCAGCUUGAUGCAUACGAAGCAUAUUUUAUACAGAAAGAUGACAAUUCAUUGAACCAAGACAGAGGCAAUAUUGAGUCUUUUCUCUCAUAUAAUGUACAAUUAACCAAUAUGAUAUGACUUUAUUGUUGUUGCCACGUGUUUUUUUUUUAAUCACCGUUAUUUCCUGUGAGUGUUUUGUGUAAAGAGCUAUGUACUAACCAAUGUAUACACCAACGUUUCAGUCGUGAUGCUGAUGAUGGGACGCACAGUUGUCUCGAAAUGCAUUCAAACACAAAAAAAAAUCGAUGCCUUGUAUGGUGAAAAAAGUAUAAAAACAAUUGCGUUUGAUUUGUCCGUAAAUAUGAAUAUUCGAGCAGAUGGAAAACGUGAAGAGAGCGACGAAAUGAAAUGAAAAGCAAUCAAAAGAAUUACUCGCCGUAAUUAUCAUGCCGUAAACAGGAUCGUUGGCGCUAUGUUUUAUGUGUUGCGCCAUCGAUAAUAAUUUAUUUGCAUUUGAUUGGAAGAAAAAUCAUGCAAUAAAUACAACCAAUAGUGGUGCAUGCAACAAAA